AACGAACGCUGGCGGCAGGCUUAACACAUGCAAGUCGAGCGCCCCGCAAGGGGAGCGGCAGACGGGUGAGUGACGCGUGGGAAUCUACCCAUCUCUACGGAAUAACGCAUGGAAACGUGUGCUAAUACCGUAUACGUCCUUCGGGAGAAAGAUUUAUCGGAGAUGGAUGAGCCCGCGUUGGAUUAGCUAGUUGGUAGGGUAAAGGCCUACCAAGGCGACGAUCCAUAGCUGGUCUGAGAGGAUGAUCAGCCACACUGGGACUGAGACACGGCCCAGACUCCUACGGGAGGCAGCAGUGGGGAAUAUUGGACAAUGGGCGCAAGCCUGAUCCAGCCAUGCCGCGUGAGUGAUGAAGGCCCUAGGGUUGUAAAGCUCUUUCACCGGUGAAGAUAAUGACGGUAACCGGAGAAGAAGCCCCGGCUAACUUCGUGCCAGCCGCCGCAGUAAUAC
rnacentral:rRNA from 1 species